rnacentral:rRNA from 1 species
CUAUCAGGUAGUAGUGGGUGUAGCGUACCUACUAGCCUACGACGGGUACGGGUUGUGAGAGCAAGAGCCCGGAGAUGGAUUCUGAGACACGAAUCCAGGCCCUACGGGGUGCAGCAGGCGCGAAAACUUUACAAUGCCGGCAACGGCGAUAAGGGGACCUCGAGUGCCAGGUUACAAAUCUGGCUGUCGUGAUGCCUAAAAAGCAUUGCAUAGCAAGGGCCGGGCAAGACCGGUGCCAGCCGCCGCGGUAACACCGGCGGCUCGAGUGGUAACCGUUAUUAUUGGGUCUAAAGGGUCUGUAGCCGGCCGGAUAAGUCUCUUGGGAAAUCCAGCAGCUCAACUGUUGGGCUUUCAGGAGAUACUGUCUGGCUCGAGGCCGGGAGAGGUGAGAGGUACUUCAGGGGUAGGGGUGAAAUCUUGUAAUCCUUGAAGGACCACCAGUGGCGAAGGCGUCUCACCAGAACGGACCUGACGGCAAGGGACGAAAGCUAGGGGCACGAACCGGAUUAGAUACCCGGGUAGUCCUAGCCGUAAACGAUACUCGCUAGGUGUCGGCCACGGUGCGACCGUUGUCGGUGCCGUAGGGAAGCCGUGAAGCGAG